AUGGACAAUGAAAUAAACUCAUUGGACCCGGGGGCGGUACCCGGCGCCUCCACCAAAAUAUAAUGAACAGAAUUAUAUUUUGGUGGGGGCGAAAUAGGAUCGACAAGAGCGUAAAGAUUGCUUUUUUACUCGGCAUAGUACCACCGUUAUCGGACUAAAUGAGUAGUUGCAAAUGACAACUAUGCGGGAGCACGUCUCGCUGCGUAAUGCGGUGCGAAUGUUCCAAAUUAAGCCUUAAAUCGUCGCAGAUUUAAGCGGGGUUCGGAGGCACC
rnacentral:tmRNA from 1 species